UUUUUUUUUUUUUGACACUUUCUUUUCUCUUGGCUUCUCUGACAAUUGGAGAUUCAAGAGUGGAUACAACCAUACCAAUGAGAAGAUGAUUCCACAGCCUGGAGAAGAGGCAAAGUCAGUCUGAACUAGUGUGGAGGCUGUGGAGAUGGGGAGGAGUGGAGUGGAUGGACCCAGGUGCUUUUUAGGAGGUAGACAGGGCCUGGUGAUGGGCCGGAUGUAAGCGGUGGAGAAAAUGGAAGAGAUGACAGUGACUCCCAGUUGAUGGCGUGCAGAACUGAGGUUUGAGGUUAUGCCAUUCACAAAACAGGCAGCACUGGAGGAGGAUCAGGCAGCGGGUGAGAAGGCAGUGGGAGAUGUAGCAGGAGAAUCACGACUCUGGCUUUCAGUAUUUUAAGUCUGAGGUUUCUUGAGACAUCCAACUUAGUCAACUAGGCAGGUGAAUAUAAGGAUAAGGGGCUCAGAAGAAAAGACACCGACUAGGAAGCUGGGUGUCAUCUGCAUGUGGAUGACAACGGAAGCCAUUCAUGUGGCUGAGAUGGCCCAGGGACAGAGUAUCCAAUCAGAAGAGAACACCUUGAGCCAGACCAUAAGGAACACCAACAUUUAAAGAUCAAGACAGGAAGGAUGAGUCAGCAAAGACGACUCAGGAGUACCAGAGAAGCCAAGAAUGUGGGGUCAGAGAAGCCAAGGGAAAAGAAAGUGUCAAAAAAAAUAGAGUGGAAAAUGCUUCUGAGAAGUAAAAAAUGUUCCCUUGCUUUAGCAAUCUGGAGAGCUGCUUCAGCAGAGUGAUGGGGGAGGAAGUCAGACUGAAGCAGGGCUGGGGAAGGAGUGGGUGGUGCAGAGAUGGAGAAUGCUGCUGCAGCCAACCCUUUCAGACAUUUGGCUUGUACAGAGAAGAGAGACAGUGUGGUGGCAGCAAGUGGAGUCGGGCUUCAGGAAGGUUUUUGUUGUUGUUUUGCUUGUUGAAGGCAUGAGAAACUUGAGCAUGGUGAGAAGGCUGUUUCUGAGAAGGCAGAGGAGAGGAUCUAGAACAUGGGUGGUGGAAGAACUGGCCUGUGAUGGCCAUGCUGCGGCCUCUGCAGACACAGGAGGGAAGGAGGAGAGGACUGGCCCAGAGGCAGUUCACGAUAUCUGGAACGACCAGGAAUGUUACAGGAGUAACCUACCCAACAGGGGCCCAUCCAGGCAGUGAGAGGAAGGGAGAAGAGAAGCUGCUGGAGCCUGGGUAGAUACAUGGAGCCUAAGGGAAUUCCAGAGAACAUGGCUCCAGACACCAGUGAACUAAGAGGCGUGCAGACCUGGGACAAUGGCCGGAGCUGGAAAUGGGACUCCCUGAAGCCAGAGGACUUCCAAGAUCAGAGAUCAUCUGGUCUUGGGCAGGAGAGGGCAAGGACACUAGAUAAUGGAUUUCCUUCUGGAAAGGGUGGCUUUCCAUGUCUCUGGAGAGAGUACAGGGGGCAUCGGAAACCCAGGUGGGAAGCAGGGACUGCCCAGAGACAGAAGACCCUGCCCUUGCAAGCUGCCACGUGGGCUGCCUUACUCCCACUCAGUGCCCUCCCCUCCAGCGGCGCCACCCUUCUCUCCUCUCACCCUGCCAGCUCCAAGUUCUCUGUGCAAGAAUCCUUCCCACUGCAGAGUCGAACCUACUCCAUUUUCCAAGCCUAAAUCAGCCGCGCCCCCCUGAGGAAGCGUUCCCUAUAUAACUCCCACACAGAGCUCACAGUUCCGAUAACAUUUAUAGUCUAAAUCACACAGUUUAGCACUCGGUUUUAAAUACUGUCUGGUAUUAUUCCCUCAUUAUUUCAUGUGAGUAUAAGUUCUGCCUCCCCAGCUGAUCAGUAGGUUUCCUUACCAGUAAAGACUGUGUCCUGUGCUUUUUUAUUUCCUUCCCAACCUCACACCCCACACUGCCUAGGACAGUGCUCAGAGAAUCCUUGGUGGGGAUGUACUGAUUGGCUGAAACAGCUCCAAUGGCUGCAGAGGGCAACCAGGCAGCACUUACUGACUAGCUGCUGAGGGAAAUGCUGGAAUGGAUGGCUGAUGAUCAGGGGUGUUAAAAAGUCAGAUCAUGCCGCUCCAGGCCCCAAACCUGCAAGAGCCCAUCUUACUCCGAGGAAAAAAUCCCCCUCCUCACCAGCUCCAGAACUCUCCCAGAGCUAGCCUCCUUCUGACCCUCUGACUUUAUCUCCUGCAACUCUGCGCUCACCACAUUCCAGCCACGCCAUCCUCCACGCCGCCUCCCACUCUCCAGGCAUGGCCCUGCCUCCCUGCCCUUGCACCUGCUGUCCCCUCUGCCCAGCUUGCCCCAACUGCAGUGCCCCCUCUCAUCUCUCCUCAGAUGUCACCUUCUCAGUGAGGUCUCUGCAGCCACCCUGCACAAGAUAACAAACUCCCCCUCUCCCAACUGACCCCCCCAUUUCCCUUCCCUGUUUUUUCUCUUUAGCAUUUACCAGACUCCAAUAUGCCAUUUCCUUUAUAAGUUUAUUUUACUGCAUCCCCAGACAAUAAACUAAAAGCUCCUGAAGGGCA